GUUUCCUUCUACAAAGCUAUCCACAAAUUUGGGUACAAUAUUUGAUGGAAUCUGAGCAUGAAUUACUGUGCCCUGUUAAUACAGACUGUUAGAAUAUGAUGUAGGUACUGAUAUAUUGUAUAAAUUUCAUGAUAUAAAUUUAUAUCAUGAAAUUUGAUCUACUGAUAUAUUCACAGGUACAAGGGACAAUAAAAACUGAUAUACAUGCAUGCCUGCUUAUGUAUACAAACUGCAGAAUAGGUAUGGCCUAAAGUUUGACAAUCAGUUCUCAACUUUUUACAGUGUUAACCAAUUCCAUUGCAAAUUUUAUUUUCAUUUUUCUGAGACAAUGUUGCGUACUAACCUGCAAAUUUAUUUAGGAGUAAAAACACAUACCUCUUCAUCGUCAUGGUUUUUGAAGGUGGAUAAUUGACUCGCCAAGAUGUACAUUCCCAUGGUUGAUCGAAGGAAUAUGGAAAUGAAUCGCAAAAUGCUAUCAGUGGAUUUAAAUGUUAAACUGUUGUCGAAGGAAUAUGUAUAUGUGUAUUGUAAUAUAUAAUAUAUUGAAUCCCUUAC